CUGGCCUACAGGGAGACAGAGAGAAAAACGCAUAUUGAGACGGGUUUGACUGGCCUAAAGGGAGACACUGACAAGGGGAUGAAAAACACACAGUGAAAUGGAUGGGACUCCAGAGAGUCGACACAACAGUUUAGACUGGACCAAAUAACUUCAGGGGGACACACACAAAAACUGGACUUAAACAGUGUGAGAAGUACCGCACUAUGUAAAAGACAGGAAGACAAAUUCAAUGAGACCUAAACAACGCGAGAGGGAAAGCAACACUGGACCAAAACAAAGCCCACCCCUCUCUCUUGUCUCAUCAAUGAUCAACUGGAGUACAAGGUGAGAAGGCUCCAGAAGGUUCGACCUCGGGAAAGGGGAUUCCAGUACCUGGUUGACUGGGAGGGUUAUGGCCUGGAGGAGAGGUGCUGGGUCUCAGCGAGGGACAUCCUGGACCCAGGCCUCAUCUCUGAAUUCCAACGCUGACACCCCGCUCAAGCAGUUCGUCUUGUUUGUCAAGUCAACUGGUGUUGUCUCUCAGCUAGAUUACCGACCUCUGGCUGACCUGACCCUGAGCCUGCCUGCCGUCCUGUACCUUUGCCCCACUACUCUGGAUUAUCAACACCUGCCUGCCUUGACCUGUCAUUUGCCUGCCCCUGUUGCUGUAAUAAACAUUGUUACUUCAACACAGUCUGCAUUUGGGUCUUACCUGAAA